GACGAACGCUGGCGGCGUGCUUAACACAUGCAAGUCGAACGGAAAGGCCCUGCUUUUGUGGGGUGCUCGAGUGGCGAACGGGUGAGUAACACGUGAGUAACCUGCCCUUGACUUUGGGAUAACUUCAGGAAACUGGGGCUAAUACCGGAUAGGAGCUCCUGCUGCAUGGUGGGGGUUGGAAAGUUUCGGUGGUUGGGGAUGGACUCGCGGCUUAUCAGCUUGUUGGUGGGGUAGUGGCUUACCACGGCUUUGACGGGUAGCCGGCCUGAGAGGGUGACCGGCCACAUUGGGACUGAGAUACGGCCCAGACUCCUACGGGAGGCAGCAGUGGGGAAUAUUGCACAAUGGGCGGAAGCCUGAUGCAGCAACGCCGCGUGCGGGAUGACGGCCUUCGGGUUGUAAACCGCUUUCGCCUGUGACGAAGCGUGAGUGACGGUAAUGGGUAAAGAAGCACCGGCUAACUACGUG
rnacentral:rRNA from 1 species